UUUCAGGUAAUCUUUCUUUAAUGCCUGGAUGCUAAUACAAUUGUACUUUGCUGCUGCAAUACGUUGCAAACACUUGCUUAAUGAGUUUAUCGUAUAGAUAGUUAAAUGUAUAUAUAAAUUUCAUUGAUCUUAUGCCAAAGUUUCUAAUGGAAUUCUUGUAAUACUUGGUGAUUUUAGGCAUAUGACCAAUUUAUUGAAUCCUAUCAAACUAGAAUAAUUGCAUUAGUUUACCUGACAUUUGCAAACAAUGUAAAUGAUCCCUUGUUUAAUUAUGUGCAAAAUUAUAUUGAAAAGAAUUCAGAGUUCUUGUAUGCCUAAGUAAGUAUCAUAGGAUCUUCUAUUGUGCAUAGGUGAGAAUUUAUGACUUCUAUUUAGAAUCAUACACGUUCAGUUGGAAGCCAGUUUGCUGUUCUGUCAUUUGCAUAUAUAUUAACAUGUGACAUUGAUCUUUACUUCUAAUAUUCUUUAUUUUGCAUGUAAAUUGACUAACAGCUAUGAGUAUAUUUGCAAAUUUUGGAAAUUAUUAUUGCUCAGUAAAAAAUAAAAUGCAGUCUUGCAUUUAGAUGUUUUGCUACUCUUUUAAAUUCUGUCAUUUAGCAAAUGAUUUUCUUAUAUCCACAGGUUCUUCUAUUUCUAUACAUUUUUGUGGAUUUUAUUGUUAAUAACUCUGGAAUGUGAUUUAUAUUAUCAGGCUGUCGUAUUUACUGACAU
rnacentral:misc_RNA from 1 species